CGGACGCAGCGGGGGGAGGGGAAGCUGCGGCGGUGACGACGUGGAAAGAUGGAGGCGGCCUGAUCCCGGCAGAGCCAAGGGGUGUGUGGGGUGUCCGGAGCCAGCCAGCCCGUCAGCCGCUGCCCCUCACCCUCUCUCACGGGAGCAGGAGCCAGUGCUCUAAUCUACCUUGUUUAAAGGAAAAGAGCAUCCGUUUGGCUCAUUCUGGCAAUCUUCGAGUUCCAAAGGCUUCUGUUGAAGGAAUGAAGCUUUAAAAAGGAACUUACAAAAUAAGAAAAUGGGCGCAAACAGUAGCAGCAUUUGUGAGCUCCCAGAAAAUGAGUACUUAAAAAGAUUAUCGGGAGCCGAAGCUGUCUCUGAGAAUGACCCAUUCUGGAAUCAGCUGCUUUCUUUUAGCUUUACUGCCCCAACAAGCAGUGCCGAGUUAAAGCUGUUGGAAGAAGCCACCAUCUCAAUCUGCAAGUCUUUAGUUGAGAACAAUCCUCGAACAGGAAAUCUUGGGGCAUUGAUUAAAGUCUUCCUUUCUAGAACCAAAGAGUUAAAAAUUUCAGCGGAAUGUCAAAACCAUCUUUUUAUUUGGCAGGCCCACAACGCAUUGUUCAUUAUUUGCUGUUUGUUAAAAGUGUUCAUAUGUCAGAUGUCAGAAGAGGAACUGCAACUUCAUUUUACUUAUGAGGAGAGAAUGCCAGGCUCAUAUGGAGUGGAAUGUGAAGACCUUAUAGAAGAGUUGCUGUGUUGCCUCAUUCAGCUCAUUGUUGAAAUUCCCCUUCUAGACAUAACAUACAACAUUUCCCUGGAAGCUGUGACGACACUUCUUGUCUUCCUUUCCUGCCAACUAUUUCACAAGGAAAUUCUGCGAGAGAGCGUCAUUCAUAAAUACCUGAUGUGUGGCCGAUGUCUCCCAUACACCAGCAGACUUGUGAAAACAUUAUUAUAUAACUUCAUUAGACAAGAGAGAAGCCCUCCCCCAGGUUCCCAUGUCUUCCAGCAGCAGACAGAUGGAGGAGGAUUGCUUUAUGGUUUUGCAUCAGGGGUGGCAACUGGCCUGUGGACAGUAUUCACGUUGGGUGGAGUAGGAAGUAAACCAGCCCCACAGCAGGAACAGUCAUCACCUUUAGCUAAUCAGAGCCUUCUGCUUCUGCUUGUGCUAGCUAAUUUGACUGAUGCUCCAGAUACACCAAACCCAUACAGACAAGCUAUUAUGUCCUUCAAGAACACACAAGAUAGCACUGCUUUUCCUUCACCAAGUCCACAUGCUUUCCAGAUUAAUUUUAACAGUUUAUACACAGCUUUGUGUGAACAGCAGAAAUCUGAUCAAGCAACUCUCCUUUUAUACAUAUUACUGCAUCAGAACAGCAAUGUUCGGACAUAUAUGUUGGCCCGCACCGAUAUGGAAAAUCUUGUUUUGCCAAUUCUUGAGAUUCUCUAUCAUGUUGAAGAAAGGAAUUCACACCAUGUUUAUAUGGCUCUUAUAAUUUUGUUGAUCCUUACAGAGGAUGAUGGCUUCAAUCGAUCUAUUCAUGAAGUGAUAUUGAAAAAUAUCACUUGGUACUCGGAGCGUGUUCUAACCGAGAUUUCACUGGGGAGUCUCCUGAUACUGGUGGUGAUAAGAACCAUUCAGUACAACAUGACAAGGACAAGGGACAAAUACCUUCAUACAAAUUGUCUGGCAGCCUUAGCAAAUAUGUCAGCACAGUUCCGCUCACUUCAUCAGUAUGCUGCUCAGAGAAUCAUCAGUUUGUUUUCUUUGUUGUCUAAAAAACACAACAAAGUUUUGGAGCAAGCCACACAAACCUUGCGAGGUUCUCUCAGUUCAGAUGACUCUCCACUUCCUGAUUACGCACAAGACCUGAAUGUGAUUGAAGAAGUGAUAAGAAUGAUGUUAGAGAUUAUCAAUUCCUGCUUGACAAAUUCUCUCCAUCACAACCCCAAUUUGGUGUAUGCACUGCUUUACAAGCGGGAUCUGUUUGAACAGUUUCGAACUCACCCUUCCUUCCAGGACAUAAUGCAAAAUAUAGACCUGGUGAUCAGCUUUUUCAGCUCACGGUUAGAGCAAGCUGGAGCCCAGCUGUCAGUGGAGAGAGUUCUGGAAAUUAUCAAACAAGGAGCUGUUGCAUUGCCCAAAGACAGACUAAGAGUAAGUGGUGGCAAAGACUUAGUCAAUUCAAAUGUAAUGUUCCAAUUAAUUAUGUCAAAAUGUCAUUUUUCUUUUGAGAUCAGGUCAUACAGUACUGCAUUAUGGAUUGUAAUAUGCUUGUGUUUUAAUUUAAAAUACCUCAUUAAUUUGGACUAUAAGCUUAUGUUUUGAUUUUGUGUGUGUGUGAAAUGUAUUUUCUUGAUUUGCUAGUGAAUUUUGGUGCCUACGAUUUGGAGAAAUUAGAACACGUCCAGGGUGGGGCUUUCUCAUAAUGUCUCAGAGAUGGAGUCUUUUCUCUUUGACCACACUGUAAACAUUCUCAACCAGGCCCUCAUCAUUUCCCAUUUUUACUACUGCGUCGUCAUCCUCUCUGGCCUUCCAGACACCCACAUUGCUCCCUUCAGGUCCAUUCAAACACUGUUAAGAUCAUUUUCCUGACCCAUAGUUCAGGGGUAGGAACAAAAUGGUCUAGUGGAAACAAGCCUAGGGCCUGAGUAAUCCUAAUCUUGCUUAGCCACAAGCAUCCUGGGAAAGCCACUUAAUCUACCCAGAGCUUCAGUUCCCCAUCUGUAUAAUGGGGAUUAUAGCACUUUCCUACCUCUCAGGGGAGUGUUAUGAGGGUAAAAUCCAAUAAUGAUUGUGUGAUACUACAGAAAUGAGGGCCAUAUAAGUACCUAGAUAGGUAGAUGUAACUCCUGUCUUUGAAACACUCCCCCUUCUCCACUACAUCAAAUAGAUGCUGUAAUCCUCUUCAAGCCCAACCCUCCCUCAAUAUCCAAUCUUGUAUUAUUGCAUUGUUGUUUCUCUCUACUGCUGUUCCGCCAACAAUGGCACCCUCCAGCACCCAUUCAUCCACAUCUUACACCACCACCUUUGCACUCUCUUCCAUGCUGUCCCUUACACAUUGUACUCCUUCCCCGUCUAGUCUAUAAAGCCACUACUUUGUCCUUCAUCAGAUUCCUCCUCCAGAUCCACUUCUAGUGUGAUACUUUCAGGAAACUAUCGACUGAUAACAGUGCAUGGCAGAGGAUGAAUGACCAGUUGUGACUGCUGAUAUUUUAUUGAUUUGUAUCUUAUUUAAAAAAAAAAAUCCCAGGAACCAUCUAGCUGUGCAUGUAAUUAGCCUAUGAAGCAAAUGUUUUUGUUACAGUUUCCUUCCUCUUCCUUGUUCCACUUGCUACACCCUCUGGUACCACAGAGACAGUCUGAAAAUGAACACUACAUCUUGAGUUAUUUCCAUUCCAUGUAUGGAAUUGUUAGAGAAAAAGCAUUCUUGUAUGAAUAAAUAAAAGCUCCAGGUAAUCAAAAGAUCAAUAGUGUUGCUUGACAUUAAUUCAUUGUUAGAUAGUGAAUUGAAGUACACAAAGAUCUGAGGUUUAUUCAUUACCUUUUUUCAAAAGUCACCCAAGUUAGAGUCAGGGCAAGAAGAGAGCCCAGGCAUUCUGACUGCUAGUCUGCUACUCUGACCACUAGACAACACUCGCUCCCAAAUACUGACUUUAUUAUUGUUGCCCCAUUGCUGACCAAAGGUCACAUCAGAGCAGGUCAGUUUUUUGUCUGGAGCAGAUAUCAGUGAUUCAGAGUCAAGGUUUUCCUUAGUGUGUGUGUGUGUCUGUGUGUUUGUUUAUAAAAUGUACACAAGCCCCAUUUCCUCAAGUGGGUGGUAACAAACGGUAGCCCAAGCAACUGUCUCUUGCCCCUCAGCCCUGUCCCUCAAAAGAAACUGGUUUGUGCCUCUGUCUCUCUCUCUCUCUCUCUCUCUCUCUCUCUGUCUCUCUCUGUCCAUGGCACCUCAUAGAUCUUCCUGCUCUAGCCCCUGACUUUUUUCACCUGGGAAACUCCUAGCCCAAGGCUAGAGCAGAUUAGCCUGAAGGGCAGAAUGAGCAUCUACCCUCUUUUUCUGCAGCAGCACUGCGCCAUAAAAAGAACCUCAGAGCUUCAACUACCAGACAAAGGAGAGUGCCUUAAUCCUAUAAUACUGUGAAUGACUCUCUGGGUAUGGCACUGCAUGCCAUGGUUACCUCCGUCUACAGGAAUUUUCAUCUUGAGUGCUCAAACAUCAGUAAUCCCUGAUGUUGAGUGAGGUUGAUGAACAGUAAACAGGCCCUGGGGUGGAAGGGUGAGGACUGAAGCCGUCUACUCACUGACUCAAGGCAGACGCGCAUCCUGGUAGCUCCAUUCUUGACUCGGUUAUUGUGGGUUUAGUGGAAGAAAUAACUUCAGAUUAAUUAGAUUUACCUAGAUUUUGAGCAAAUUGUUGGAGCCAUUGUUAAAAUACGAAAAAAUGUAAACCAAAAAAAAGCACUUGCACCCAUGAUCCUGAUCUGCACAAUGGUGCUUAUGCGUUUCACUCUACUCCAUGCCACUCCUCAUCACUUUCACACUGGGAAGUGGCAUGUGACUGACAGGAACACAUACCUGUAACUCAAACGCAAAUCUCAGAUUGCUAAUUAAAUUGAACUUUUUAGGUAAAUAUGUGAAAAAUCAUCCCCUGAAUUUGGCAAAUACAUGCCAAGAACUGGAGGCUCUCUGUCUUAGUAUCCUUACAAGAAGCAACCUUGCUGCUGUUCAAGAUAAAAAUAGUGUAAUUAACGUUACUUUAAAUCAUGUGCUUUUAGCCAUAUACUGUGUAAGUCAGGGAAAGUCCAAGCUGAGUAAUUAGCUUUUUAGAAGACUCCUGCAUAAACAGAGAGAUAAAGGGCAGGUGCUGAAAUCAAGAGCUGGUUAUUUCUCUUUCAGCCUGAGAGAGAAGAUAAAUUAAGCUAAUAAGCCUGGGAGUGAGGUGGAAACCACAGCUCAUAGAUAGAGCUGUCUCCUUUGCAGACAAGCAGGCCACAAUCCAGGCUCCCUUUUUUAUUGCAGAAGCUUAUUACGGGCAAUUUAAAGAUCAUGGUGAUAGGUGAAAAUUGGCCUUAGUGUCUCGCUCUCUCUUUUAAACUCACAAGUUGUCUUUUCUUCCUUUCAGUGAAUUAUCUGUAGUUUGAGGAUUAGGAUCGUGAGAGAAGUGAGACUGUGUCUGGAGUCUGGGAUUUAUCUCAGGAUUUUCAAUGGGAGUUAGCCAGCAGAUAACUGCUAUUUUACAAUAAGUGGGAAAACUUGUUCUGAAUGCCAGAUAUUAACUGGAAGCUGAUAUUUGGGUUCAUGGAGUGAACACACUUGAGAGACCACAUUUCAUGCUUUUGAAAGAAAUUUCCCAGUGGCUAAGCCAUUUAAACUAAAAACAUUUUAUUUUUACAAACACUUGCUUAAGUUGGAUUUCCGCCCUGCCUGAUUUUUUCCACUGUGUUGAUUUGUAUUUGCUUCUUUUUUCUAUGUUUCUUUAUAAUCUCUCCCUGUGCUCGACAGAAGCAGUUAUGCUCUUAUACUGUGCCUCUCUGAUAUGAGUCAAGCAUUUAACAGUCAUUAAAACUUGUUCUAGUUUUACGAGCAAUAAAAUU